rnacentral:rRNA from 1 species
UACAUGUGGGGCAAGCGUUGUUCGGAAUUACUGGGCAUAAAGGGUGCGUAGGCGGUUUGUUAAGUCACUGGUGAAAGUUUUCGGCCCAACCGGAAAAUUGCCUGUGAUACUGGCGAACUUGAGUGCGUGAGGGGUGGGGGGAACGAGCAGUGUAGCGGUGAAAUGCGUAGAUAUUGCUCGGAAGGCCGGAGCCGAAGGGGCCCCACUGGUACGUAACUGACGCUGAGGCACGAAAGCGUGGGGAGCGAACAGG